AGGUCCAGCACCGGCUGCACCCGGAUGAACUGCUUCAGCCGCGGCCUGAAGCAGGAGAUCAGUAUCGCAGUUACAGAUGCCUGGAAUGCCAAUGACAAUGGGACAGCUAGUGCCAGGAGCGGUACCAAAUAUGCCUCACGGUGAAUGGUCUGGAUGUUCUGCGUAUGCUGCCCCACAGGUUAUGAGAUGGUUCUGGCUUCUGUGGUGUCGACACGCACCUUCUCAAGAACAUAGAUCUGCAGAAGCAACGUAUUGGAAGAUCUCUAGUUACAGGAUGGAGAAGUAGAUGCCGAAACACUGCAGAGAUACCUAAUGCAGUCUGGAGUCAGGAACCUAUUAUUGUAAGAUACUGAGUUUUGCUGUGGCAGCCAGGCAGGUGCAGCUCGACGUUAAAGAGGGGUUACCACCACUGCCUUGCUUUCUGAGAUGCAAAGUUGAGAAGACUGGGCUUUUAUGCCUAAUCUAAUUCUGUCACCCUUCAGAAUUAAAUGAUGAUGUUAAGGAGGCUACUCCAAGACCAGUGGCUUUAUUCAUGUUAAGCUGACCACCAGCAGUAUGAGCAUUAGGAAUCGGAGCUUCCAUUAAACUUUCACAGUUUCUCAAAAGGAAAAUUAAGAUAAAGUCCUUGCAGUGCACCAUGGCAUUCUGAGUGCUGAACUGCUGGAGGAAAAGAGGAUCAACCUGUCAAAGUUCAUGUUUGGAAGAAUUGCUGUGAAUGGAAGCUAUUGUAGAGGUGUUUAACCUUCCUGCUUAAUGAGACAACGUGCUUUGAGUGAAUACUUCGAUUUUCAAGUGCACGAUUCGCAGCAAUAAAUAUCUUUUGCAUUUUACUAUAUUUAGAAGCAUGGCUUUUUUUAUCUGUACGUGUAUAAUUCCAGGCAAGUAAAUUUCUGUGUUAAGCUCAAGAGCUUAAUGAGAAGGAAAAGCUUAUGGUCAUAUGUAAUAGGCUGUGUCUUAUAAAUGGGUAGCUUGCUUACACAAAUAAAACAUCAGA